CAGUAGCCGCGGGAAUACGAGGGGGGCAAGCGUUGUUCGGAAUUAUUGGGCGUAAAGGGCGCGUAGGCGGUUUGACGAGUCUUGUGUGAAAUCUCUGGGCUCAACCCAGAGUCUGCACGGGAAACUGUCGGGCUAGAGGAUGGGAGAGGUGAGUGGAAUUUCCGGUGUAGCGGUGAAAUGCGUAGAUAUCGGAAGGAACACCUGUGGCGAAAGCGGCUCACUGGACCAUUACUGACGCUGAGGCGCGAAAGCUAGGGGAGCAAACAGGAUUAGAUACCCCCGUAGUCCCUGUCUCUUAUAC
rnacentral:rRNA from 1 species